UGGGGAAUAUUGCACAAUGGGCGCAAGCCUGAUGCAGCCAUGCCGCGUGUAUGAAGAAGGCCUUCGGGUUGUAAAGUACUUUCAGCGGGGAGGAAGGUGUUGUGGUUAAUAACCACAGCAAUUGACGUUACCCGCAGAAGAAGCACCGGCUAACUCCGUGCCAGCAGCCGCGGUAAUACGGAGGGUGCAAGCGUUAAUCGGAAUUACUGGGCGUAAAGCGCACGCAGGCGGUCUGUCAAUUCGGAUGUGAAAUCCCCGGGCUCAACCUGGGAACUGCAUCCGAAACUGGCAGGCUUGAGUCUUGUAGAGGGGGGUAGAAUUCCAGGUGUAGCGGUGAAAUGCGUAGAGAUCUGGAGGAAUACCGGUGGCGAAGGCGGCCCCCUGGACAAAGACUGACGCUCAGGUGCGAAAGCGUGGGGAGCAAACA
rnacentral:rRNA from 1 species